rnacentral:lncRNA from 1 species
AACGCCACCUCCAAGGAUGACUCCGAUGUGACAGAGGUGAUGUGGCAACCAGCUCUUAGGCGUGGGAGAGGCCUACAGGCCCAAGGAUAUGGUGUCCGAAUCCAGGAUGCUGGAGUUUAUCUGCUGUAUAGCCAGGUCCUGUUUCAAGACGUGACUUUCACCAUGGGUCAGGUGGUGUCUCGAGAAGGCCAAGGAAGGCAGGAGACUCUAUUCCGAUGUAUAAGAAGUAUGCCCUCCCACCCGGACCGGGCCUACAACAGCUGCUAUAGUGUCUUCCAUUUACACCAAGGGGAUAUUCUGAGUGUCAUAAUUCCCCGGGCAAGGGCGAAACUUAACCUCUCUCCACAUGGAACCUUCCUGGGGUUUGUGAAACUGUGAUUGUGUUAUAAAAAGUGGCUCCCAGCUUGGAAGACCAGGGUGGGUACAUACUGGAGACAGCCAAGAGCUGAGUAUAUAAAGGAGAGGGAAUGUGCAGGAACAGAGGCGUCUUCCUGGGUUUGGCUCCCCGUUCCUCACUUUUCCCUUUUCAUUCCCACCCCCUAGACUUUGAUUUUACGGAUAUCUUGCUUCUGUUCCCCAUGGAGCUCCGAAUUCUUGCGUGUGUGUAGAUGAGGGGCGGGGGACGGGCGCCAGGCAUUGUCCAGACCUGGUCGGGGCCCACUGGAAGCAUCCAGAACAGCACCACCAUCUAGCGGCCGCUCGAGGGAAGCACCCGCCGGUUGGCCGAAGUCCACGAAGCCGCCCUCUGCUAGGGAAAACCCCUGGUUCUCCAUGCCACACCUCUCUCCAGGUGCCCUCUGCCUCUUCACCCCACAAGAAGCCUUAUCCUACGUCCUUCUCUCCAUCUAUCGGACCCCAGUUUCCAUCACUAUCUCCAGAGAUGUAGCUAUUAUGCGCCCGUCUACAGGGGGUGCCCGACGAUGACGGUGCCUUCGCAGUCAAAUUACUCUUCGGGUCCCAAGGUUUGGCUUUCACGCGCUCCAUUGCCCCGGCGUGGCAGGCCAUUCCAAGCCCUUCCGGGCUGGAACUGGUGUCGGAGGAGCCUCGGGUGUAUCGUACGCCCUGGUGUUGGUGUUGCCUCACUCCUCUGAGCUCUUCUUUCUGAUCAAGCCCUGCUUAAAGUU